CGCUGGCGGCGUGCCUAAUACAUGCAAGUCGAACGAGAAUCUCUUGUAUUCGUACGAGAAAAUUCUAGUGGCGAACGGGUGAGUAACGCGUUGGUGACCUGCCCCGAAGUGGGGGAUAACAGACCGAAAGGUUUGCUAAUACCCCAUGUGCUUAUUUGGGUUAGAGGCCUAAUAAGUAAAGGUUUUAAUCGCUUCGGGAGGGGCCUGCGUCCCAUCAGCUAGUUGGUAAGGUAAUGGCUUACCAAGGCUAUGACGGGUAGGGGACCUGAGAGGGUGACCCCCCACACUGGUACUGAAACACGGACCAGACACCUACGGGUGGCAGCAGUAGGGAAUAUUGGACAAUGGGCGAAAGCCUGAUCCAGCAACGCCGCGUGCGGGAUGACGGCCUUCGGGUUGUAAACCGCUUUUCUGAGGGAAGAGAAAGGACUGUACCUCAGGAAUAAGUCUCGGCUAACUACGUGCCAGCAGCCGCGGUAACACGUAGGAGGCAAGCGUUAUCCGGAUUUACUGGGCGUAAAGCGCGUGCAGGCGGUUUGGUAAGUUGGAUGUGAAAUCUCCCGGCCUAACUGGGAGGUGUCGUUCAAAACUGCCAGGCUAGAGGACGGUAGGAAGGUGGAAUUCUCGGUGUAGUGGUGAAAUGCGUAGAUAUCGAGAGGAACACCAGUGGCGAAGGCGGCCUUCUGGGCCGUUCCUGACGCUCAGACGCGAAAGCGUGGGUAGCGAACGGGAUUAGAAACCCCGGUAGUCCACGCUGUAAACGAUGUGAACUUGGUGUUGGUGGCGUAAAAACCAUCAGUGCCGUAGCUAACGCGAUAAGUUCACCGCCUGGGGACUACGAUCGCAAGAUUAAAACUCAAAGGAAUUGACGGGGACCCGCGCAAGCAGCGGAGCGUGUGGUUUAAUUCGAGCCUACGCGAAGAACCUUACCUGGGCUUGACAUAUAGGUGAAGGGAUCCGAAAGGUGACCGUCCCUCGGGACGCUUAUACAGGUGCUGCAUGGCUGUCGUCAGCUCGUGUCGUGAGAUGUCCGGUUAAGUCCGGUAACGAGCGCAACCCUCGCCGUAUGUUACAAGUGUCAUACGGGACUGCCGGUAUAAAACCGGAGGAAGGUGAGGAUGACGUCAAGUCAGCAUGGCCUUUAUGCCCAGGGCUACACACACGCUACAAUGGUCGGUACAAUAGGUUGCAAAGCCGCGAGGUGGAGCCAAUCCCCAAAGCCGAUCUCAGUUCGGAUUGCAGGCUGCAACUCGCCUGCAUGAAGUCGGAGUUGCUAGUAACCGCGCGUCAGCACAGUGCGGUGAAUACGUUCCCGGGUCUUGUACACACC
rnacentral:rRNA from 1 species